ACGGGAGCAUCCUGGUGGCGAGUGGCGAACGGGUGAGUAAUAUAUCGGAACGUGCCCAGUCGUGGGGGAUAACGCAGCGAAAGCUGUGCUAAUACCGCAUACGAUCUCUGGAUGAAAGCGGGGGACUCGUAAGAGCCUCGCGCGAUUGGAGCGGCCGAUAUCGGAUUAGCUAGUUGGUGGGGUAAAGGCCCACCAAGGCGACGAUCUGUAGCUGGUCUGAGAGGACGACCAGCCACACUGGAACUGAGACACGGUCCAGACUCCUACGGGAGGCAGCAGUGGGGAAUUUUGGACAAUGGGCGCAAGCCUGAUCCAGCAAUGCCGCGUGCAGGAUGAAGGCCUUCGGGUUGUAAACUGCUUUUGUACGGAACGAAAAGGUUUGCCUUAAUACGGUGGGCCCAUGACGGUACCGUAAGAAUAAGCACCGGCUAACUACGUGCCAGCAGCCGCGGUAAUACGUAGGGUGCGAGCGUUAAUCGGAAUUACUGGGCGUAAAGCGUGCGCAGGCGGUUAUAUAAGACAGAUGUGAAAUCCCCGGGCCCAACCUGGGACCUGCAUUUGUGACUGUAUAGCUAGAGUACGGUAGAGGGGGAUGGAAUUCCGCGUGUAG
rnacentral:rRNA from 1 species